ensembl:lncRNA
GUCAGCUGAUCUCAGGCCAGCGGAGCAGCUUCAGCUGCAGUGUGCGGUCCUCAGGACGCCGCUUACCUUCGUGUAAACACAUCUGUGACUGUUCACGCUCAACGACAGCUGAGCUCCACCUGACCUCUGACCUCUCCAGGACCAUGCCGUCACCUCUCAGCUCAUCUCAGUCUGACCCAUCGGGACUCAAACGUCUCUGUUUGUGGCUCCAUCGCUGCUCCUCCCCUCCUCCUCCUCCUCUCCCCGUCAGCUGCGGCGACCUCUGCCCUCUGUCAGCAUCAUGCCGUCUCCCCCUGCUGGUGGCCCUGCUGCUCUGCGGCCUGCUGCUGAUGGUGCUGCUGCUGCUGUGGAACUACCACUGUGUGUUCAUCUCACGCCUCUGCUCCCCCCCGGGGGAGGAGGAGGGGGAUGUGGGGGAGAUGGGCUUGUGACCUCUGACUGUGUCAUUAAUGAUGGUGAUGGUGAUGAUGAUGAUGAUGAUGACGACGGCUCGGGAUGCUUUUCAGUUUUGAUAAAAAUGUAACAAUCAAAAUAAAAAAUCUUAAACGUGCCGAACUCAAAGGUUCCUUUUCUGAAUCUCGCAAACCGCCUCUUCUGUUCAUAUGAAGGGGCGUGGCCUUUACACGAUGGAACAUGAUGAAUGGUGUAACAGCCACCGGGGGGCGAUCCAAAUACGUCUCCCAUUAAUGAGUGGUGUUUUUACUGAUGUGCAUCUGAAGCCAGCGCGUACUUCCUGUUUCUGUGGCGGGCGUUCAUGUCAAACGCGUUAGUAAUGAUGAGGUCGUCAGAUCACUGCGCACUGCAUAGAAGGGGGAUUCAAAGUUCCUGUUCAGGAUGAGCAGCCAAUCAGAAUAAAGUUGCUCUGAAUGAGGGAGGAGCUAAAAAGCUUGCUUUAGCAGCUGCUGCAUGAAGAGAAGUAAAAACUCCUCCAUGCUGGUUUUCAGGACUGAUCACGUCCCGCAGGUUAAACACACCUGUGCCCCGUCCUCAGGCUGUAACACGCACACCUCCUCAGGUAAAGACCAGGCUCACAUACACACACAGUGCGAGAGCACGAGAGUGUAAAAAAAGCCUGCAGACACGUCAUUUUAAACCCUCCAUUACGGUUCUAUUCCUGUCUGCCAGCAGGGCGCCACGCCCAAAACCUCCACCACCGCCGCUGAUUUAUUUCCAGAGUCGCUUUGGUGCUGCUGAGGAGCCAAUCCAACACGUUUACUCAGGAACUGCUGCUGAAUGACACCUGAAUCAUAUUCACCCCCACUGCGACCUCUGAUGCCCCAGCAGGUCCCGGGGUUCUCCUGGACCUCCUGGAGGACCCUGGGAGCCUCCACUCUGUAAAGCCCAG